rnacentral:rRNA from 1 species
GAUGAACGCUGGCGGCGUGCCUAAUACAUGCAAGUCGAGCGAACAGAUCAGGAGCUUUCUCCUUUGACUUUAUCGGCGGACGGGUGAUUAACACGUGGUUAACCUACCUAUACGACUGGGAUAACUUCGGGAAACCGUAUCUAAUACCGGAUAACUUUUCGAACCUCAUUGUUCUAGCGUUAAAGUUGGUUUUUCUUUCACUUAUAGAUGGCCCCGCGCCGUAUGAGUUAGUUGUUAAGGUAACGGCUUACCCAGGCGACGAUACGUAGCCGACCUGAGAGGGAGAACGGACACAUGGGAACAGAGAAAGGGCAGAGACACCGAGGGGGGGAAGCAGUAGGGAAUCUUACGCGAGGGGGGAAAGCGUGACAGAGGAAAAUCGGGUGAGGGAUGAAGGAGUUAGGCUCGGAAAACUAUGAAAUUAGGGAAGAACAAAUGUGUAAGUAACUGUGAAGGUAUUGACGGUACCGAAUCAGAAAGCCACGGCUAACUACGUG